AAGCAAUGCAAAUGCAACAUGUCAAUUUAUUUGUAUUUGUUUUAUUAAGGGAUUUUGGCUAUGCCACUUCUGCAAGGAAUAUAAGAGUGUUAAAGAAAAAGAUACCAGCCAAUCUGCAAAGAGUUCUUAUAUAAUCUACAAAGAGAAAAUACAAGAAAACACAUGAUCCAAAGAGGAGCUUUCAGCAUGAGAGCCAAAGAAGUAGAAUGUAUGCUUUCCAAGGAACAUCUCUAUGGAGGCAAGCUCUGAAAUUCUAAGGUACUUUCCAAUCCAUUCUUUACUGCAGACAGAGGUUACAGCUCCACCCUUGGUGUCACCUUGUAUUACAAGUACAGAAAAAGAAAGAGAGGAGAGAGGCAGAGAGAGAGGAAGAAAAGUGAAGACUUUGGCAGAAAAUAUUUGGCAUCAUAAAAUCGGUAAUAUAUGAACCCUCUUGUCUGAAAAAACACACAAUAUUUUCAUAUAUUUACCAUUUCAAAUUAGCAUGUUUGAAUGAGUGUGAUUUUUUAUGUUUCUUUUUAUGUAUGGUCUUAUUUUUUGACAUUAAAUAUUUGUGUUGUAUGUGCUAACAGAACUUUGGAAAGUGUAUCUCAAAUACAGUGACAAUGGUGGUUCUGUAAGGCUUGAUGAGAUUAUUUGAGUUCUCUGUCCUUUGGAUAAGAUCAUUUCAUGUCUCAUUUUUUUGAAUAUUUGCCUGUUUUCCUAAAACACAUUGCCUGUGUCAAAUUCUGGUCUUUAGGGCAGCAAUAGUGCCCUGCUUUGGGAGCACUGAUAAGUUGUGUGAUAAGGAGCAGAAUAAAU
rnacentral:lncRNA from 1 species